rnacentral:miRNA from 1 species
CCUGGAGUGCGCGGGCGAGGCGGGCGGAGCGCACCGGGCUCUGGGGCCGCACCGGCUCGCAGCGCCGGGC